UACGGAGGAUGCAAGCGUUAUCCGGAAUUAUUGGGCGUAAAGCGUCCGUAGGUGGCCAUUCAAGUCUGCCGUUAAAACCAGUAGCUUAACUACUGAAUAGCGGUGGAAACUGAACGGCUAGAGUGUGGUAGGGGUAGAGGGAAUUCCCGGUGUAGCGGUGAAAUGCGUAGAGAUUGGGAAGAACACCGGUGGCGAAAGCGCUCUGCUGGACCACAACUGACACUCACAGGACGAAAGCUAGGGGA
rnacentral:rRNA from 1 species